CGCGUAGGCGGCCCGCUAAGUCGAACGUGAAAUCCCCGGGCUCAACCCGGGAACUGCGUCCGAUACUGGCAGGCUUGAAUCCGGGAGAGGGAUGUGGAAUUCCAGGUGUAGCGGUGAAAUGCGUAGAUAUCUGGAGGAACACCGGUGGCGAAGGCGGCAUCCUGGACCGGUAUUGACGCUGAGGCGCGAAAGCCAGGGGAGCAAACGG
rnacentral:rRNA from 1 species